rnacentral:rRNA from 1 species
CACGUAGGGUGCAAGCGUUGUCCGGAAUUAUUGGGCGUAAAGAGCUCGUAGGCGGUCUGUCGCGUCGGAUGUGAAAACCCAGGGCUCAACCCUGGGCCUGCAUUCGAUACGGGCAGACUAGAGUUCGGUAGGGGAGACUGGAAUUCCUGGUGUAGCGGUGAAAUGCGCAGAUAUCAGGAGGAACACCGGUGGCGAAGGCGGGUCUCUGGGCCGAAACUGACGCUGAGGAGCGAAAGCGUGGGGAGCAAACAGG